AAAUAGGCAUAAUGUUAGAAUUGCCCACUUUACCAAAAUCAGAAAAAUAAGAAAUUAGUGACCUUAGAGAGAGAGAGGAAGCGCGAGGGAGAAAGAGAAGGGAGAGGAGAAUCAAGAACAAAAGUAAUCAACCUUAGGAGAGUAAUUUUGCUAUGAGGAAAUGAGAUUUUCAGAUAGGUGAUGAGUCAUAGUUACCGAGUUCGGGGAGCUUGUCCCUUGCUGUUUCAAUAAUUGAGUCGCUCUGAUAGGAUGUCUUGGGGAAUUCACAUAUAUAUUCCAUUAGUAUUUCUUCGAAAUGACUUAAACAGUGUCAAUUGGUUUUUUUGGGAAUGAUUCCAUUGCUCUCUUUAAUUUUUGAUUUCAAAUUUUAGAACUUAUGUUUAUUGGUUUUAAUUUUAUUUCUGCUGCUUAAUCCUUA